AUUGAACGCUGGCGGCAGGCCUAACACAUGCAAGUCGAGCGGAUGAAGGGAGCUUGCUCCUGGAUUCAGCGGCGGACGGGUGAGUAAUGCCUAGGAAUCUGCCUGGUAGUGGGGGAUAACGUCCGGAAACGGGCGCUAAUACCGCAUACGUCCUGAGGGAGAAAGUGGGGGAUCUUCGGACCUCACGCUAUCAGAUGAGCCUAGGUCGGAUUAGCUAGUUGGUGGGGUAAAGGCCUACCAAGGCGACGAUCCGUAACUGGUCUGAGAGGAUGAUCAGUCACACUGGAACUGAGACACGGUCCAGACUCCUACGGGAGGCAGCAGUGGGGAAUAUUGGACAAUGGGCGAAAGCCUGAUCCAGCCAUGCCGCGUGUGUGAAGAAGGUCUUCGGAUUGUAAAGCACUUUAAGUGGUGAUGAAGGGUAGUAAGUUAAUACCUUGCUGUUUUGACGGUACCAACAGAAUAAGCACCGGCUAACUUCGUG
rnacentral:rRNA from 1 species